AUUGAACGCUGGCGGCAUGCCUUACACAUGCAAGUCGAACGGCAGCAUGGAGAGCUUGCUCUCUGAUGGCGAGUGGCGAACGGGUGAGUAAUGCAUCGGAACGUACCGUGUAAUGGGGGAUAACGUAGCGAAAGUUACGCCAAUACCGCAUACGACCUGAGGGUGAAAGCAGGGGAUCGCAAGACCUUGCGUUAUACGAGCGGCCGAUGUCAGAUUAGCUAGUUGGUGAGGUAAAGGCUCACCAAGGCGACGAUCUGUAGCGGGUCUGAGAGGAUGAUCCGCCACACUGGGACUGGGACACGGCCCAGACUCCUACGGGAGGCAGCAGUGGGGAAUUUUGGACAAUGGGGGCAACCCUGAUCCAGCCAUGCCGCGUGAGUGAAGGAGGCCUUCGGGUUGUAAAGCUCUUUCGGCCGGGAAGAAAUCGCACAGGCUAAUACUCUGUGUGGAUGACGGUACCGGCAUAAGAAGCACCGGCUAACUACGUGCCAGCAGCCGCCGUAA
rnacentral:rRNA from 1 species